GACGAACGCUGGCGGCGUGCUUAACACAUGCAAGUCGAACGGAAAGGCCCUGCUUUUGUGGGGUGCUCGAGUGGCGAACGGGUGAGUAACACGUGAGUAACCUGCCCUUGACUUUGGGAUAACUUCAGGAAACUGGGGCUAAUACCGGAUAGGAGCUCCUGCUGCAUGGUGGGGGUUGGAAAGUUUCGGCGGUUGGGGAUGGACUCGCGGCUUAUCAGCUUGUUGGUGGGGUAGUGGCUUACCAAGGCUUUGACGGGUAGCCGGCCUGAGAGGGUGACCGGCCACAUUGGGACUGGGAUGCGGCCCAGACUCCUACGGGAGGCAGCGGUGAGGAAUAUUGCACAAUGGGCGGAGGCCUGAUGCAACAACGCCGCGUGCGAGAUGACAACCUUCGGGUUGUAAACCGCUUUCGCCUGUGACGAAGCGUGAGUGACGGUAAUGGGUAAAGAAGCACCGGCUAACUACGUG
rnacentral:rRNA from 1 species